AACGCGAAGAACCUUACCUGGGCUCGAAGCACAGUGGACCGGGGUAGAAAUAUCCCUUUUCGCAAGAACUGCUGUGGAGGUGCUGCAUGGCUGUCGUCAGCUCGUGUCGUGAGAUGUUGGGUUAAGUCCCGCAACGAGCGCAACCCUUAUCGUUAGUUGCCAGCGGGUAAUGCCGGGGACUCAUAGGAGACUGCCGGGGUCAACUCGGAGGAAGGUGGGGAUGACGUCAAGUCCUCAUGCCCCUUAUGUCUUGGGCUGCAAACAUGCUACAAUGGCCAGUACAAAGGGUUGCGAGACCGCAAGGUGGAGCGAAUCCCAAAAAAGCUGGUACUCAGUUCGGAUUGGGGUCUGCAACUCGACCCCAUGAAGUCGGAGUCGCUAGUAAUCGCAGAUCAGCAACGCUGCGGUGAAUACGUUCCGGGCCUUGUACACACCGCUCGUC
rnacentral:rRNA from 1 species